rnacentral:rRNA from 1 species
AGUGAACGCUGGCGGCAGGCCUAACACAUGCAAGUCGAGCGGCAGCGCGUCCGACCACCCUCGGGUGGUCGGAUGGCGGCGAGCGGCGGACGGGUGAGGAAUGCAUCGGAAUCUGCCUCGUUGUGGGGGAUAACGUAGGGAAACUUACGCUAAUACCGCAUACGACCUACGGGUGAAAGUGGGGGACCUUCGGGCCUCACGCGAUGAGAUGAGCCGAUGCCGGAUUAGCUAGUUGGCGGGGUAAAGGCCCACCAAGGCGACGAUCCGUAGCUGGUCUGAGAGGAUGAUCAGCCACACUGGAACUGAGACACGGUCCAGACUCCUACGGGAGGCAGCAGUGGGGAAUAUUGGACAAUGGGGGCAACCCUGAUCCAGCCAUGCCGCGUGUGUGAAGAAGGCCUGGUUGUAAGUACACUUUGUUGGGUAGGAACGGACCGGUAACGUACC